UACGAAGGGGGCUAGCGUUGCUCGGAAUCACUGGGCGUAAAGGGUGCGUAGGCGGGUCUUAAGUCAGGGGUGAAAUCCUGGAGCUCAACUCCAGAACUGCCUUUGAUACUGGGUAUCUUGAGUAUGGAAGAGGUAAGUGGAAUUGCGAGUGUAGAGGUGAAAUUCGUAGAUAUUCGCAGGAACACCAGUGGCGAAGGCGGCUUACUGGUCCAUAACUGACGCUGAGGUGCGAAAGCGUGGGGAGCAAACAGG
rnacentral:rRNA from 1 species